rnacentral:rRNA from 1 species
CCUACGGGUGGCAGCAGUGAGGAAUAUUGGUCAAUGGGCGCGAGCCUGAACCAGCCAAGUCGCGUGAGGGAAGACGGUCCUAUGGAUUGUAAACCUCUUUUGUCGGGGAGCAAAAGACGCCACGCGUGGCUUUCCGAGAGUACCCGAAGAAAAAGCAUCGGCUAACUCCGUGCCAGCAGCCGCGGUAAUACGGAGGAUGCGAGCGUUAUCCGGAUUUAUUGGGUUUAAAGGGUGCGCGGGGGGAAGUUAAAGUCAGUGGUAAAAUUGAGGGGCCAAACCUCGGCGAGCCGUUGAUACUGGCUGUCUUGAGAUGUGGUGAGGUAGGCGGAAUGCGCAGUGUAGCGGUGAAAUGCUUAGAUAUUGCGCAGAACUCCGAUUGCGAAGGCAGCAUACU